rnacentral:rRNA from 1 species
AUGGACGCCGGCGCCGGCGCCGGCGCUGGCGCGCCCUACGCCUCCCGCACGGCGGAGGAGGUCUUCCGCGACUUCCGCGGCCGCCGCGCCGGCAUGAUCAAGGCCCUCACCCAAGAAGUGGACAAGUUCUACCAGCUCUGCGACCCCGAAAAGGAGAACUUGUGCCUUUAUGGGUACCCUAAUGAAACAUGGGAAGUGACGUUGCCUGCUGAGGAAGUUCCCCCAGAGAUUCCUGAACCAGCACUUGGAAUCAACUUUGCUAGGGAUGGCAUGAACGAGAAGGAUUGGUUGGCACUAGUUGCUGUUCACAGUGAUUCCUGGUUGUUGGCUGUUUCAUUCUACUUCGCGGCACGGUUUGGAUUUGACAAAGAGGCAAGGAGGCGACUCUUCAACAUGAUAAAUAACCUGCCUACAAUAUUUGAAGUCGUGACUGGGGCUGCAAAGAAGCAGAUCAAGGAGAAGGCCCCCAACAGUACGCACAAGAGCAAUAAUAAGCCAAGCAUGAAAACUUAUUCAAAGCCUGAGUCCCAAUCAAAGGCCCCAAAGAUAGCAGCGCCCCCAAAGGAUGAAGAUGAGAGCGGCGAGGACUAUGGAGAAGAAGAGGAGGAAGAGCGCGACAACACCUUGUGUGGUACCUGUGGAACAAACGACGGCAAGGACGAGUUCUGGAUCUGCUGCGACAACUGCGAGCGGUGGUAUCAUGGGAAAUGCGUCAAGAUCACGCCUGCUCGAGCCGAGCAUAUCAAGCACUACAAGUGCCCAGACUGCAGCAACAAGAGGGCGAGGGCGUAA